rnacentral:rRNA from 1 species
ACGCUGGCGGCACGCCUAACACAUGCAAGUCGAACGAAGUAGCAAUACUUAGUGGCAGACGGGUGAGUAACAUGUAGGUAUCUGCCCUUUGGCCUGGAAUAACACGAGGAAACUUGUGCUAAUACCGGAUAAGUCUUUACGGAGAAAGCUUUAUGCACCAUUGGAUGAGCCUGCACUUGAUUAGUUUGUUGGUGGGGUAAUGGCCUACCAAGACUGUGAUCAAUAGCUGAUUUGAGAGGAUGAUCAGCCACAUUGGGACUGAGACACGGCCCAAACUCCUACGGGAGGCAGCAGUGGGGAAUCUUGCACAAUGGAGGAAACUCUGAUGCAGCGAUGCCGCGUGAGUGAAGAAGGCCUUUGGGUUGUAAAGCUCUUUCGUCGGGGAAGAAAAUGACUGUACCCGAAUAAGAAGGUCCGGCUAACUUCGUGCCAGCAGCCGCGGUAAUACGAAGGGACCUAGCGUAGUUCGGAAUUACUGGGCUUAAAGAGUUCGUAGGUGGUUGAAAAAGUUAGUGGUGAAAUCCCAGAGCUUAACUCUGGAACUGCCAUUAAAACUUUUCAGCUAGAGUAUGAUAGAGGAAAGCAGAAUUUCUAGUGUAGAGGUGAAAUUCGUAGAUAUUAGAAAGAAUACCAAUUGCGAAGGCAGCUUUCUGGAUCAUUACUGACACUGAGGAACGAAAGCAUGGGUAGCGAAGAGGAUUAGAUACCCUCGUAGUCCAUGCCGUAAACGAUGUGUGUUAGACGUUGGAAAUUUAUUUUCAGUGUCGCAGGGAAACCGAUAAACACACCGCCUGGGGAGUACGACCGCAAGGUUAAAACUCAAAUGAAUUGACGGGGACCCGCACAAGUAGUGGAGCAUGUGGUUUAAUUCGAAGAUACGCGCAGAACCUUACCAACACUUGACAUGUUCGUCGCGACUCUAAGAGAUUAGAGUUUUCGGUUCGGCCGGACGAAACACAGGUGCUGCAUGGCUGUCGUCAGCUCGUGUCGUGAGAUGUUGGGUUAAGUCCCGCAACGAGCGCAACCCUCACUUUUAGUUGCCAUCAUUAAGUUGGGCACUCUGAAAGAACUGCCAGUGAUAAGCUGGAGGAAGGUGGGGAUGACGUCAAGUCCUCAUGGCCCUUACGUGUUGGGCUACACACGUGCUACAAUGGUAUCUACAACAGGAAGCAAGACUGCGAAGUUAAGCAAAUCCCUAAAAGAUACCUCAGUUCGGAUUGCACUCUGCAACUCGAGUGCAUGAAGCUGGAAUUACUAGUAAUCGUGGAUCAGCGUGCCACGGUGAAUGCGUUCCCGGGUCUUGCACUCACCGCC